rnacentral:rRNA from 1 species
ACAGCAGUAGCCGCGGUAAUACGGAGGGUGCAAGCGUUACUCGGAAUCACUGGGCGUAAAGGACGCGUAGGCGGAUUAUCAAGUCUCUUGUGAAAUCUAACGGCUUAACCGUUAAACUGCUUGGGAAACUGAUAAUCUAGAGUAAGGGAGAGGCAGAUGGAAUUCUUGGUGUAGGGAUAAAAUCCGUAGAGAUCAAGAAGAAUACCCAUUGCGAAAGCGAUCUGCUGGAACUUAACUGACGCUAAUGCGUUAAAGCGUGGGGAGCAAACAGGAUUAGAUACCCCCGUAGUCCCUGUCUCUUAUAC